rnacentral:rRNA from 1 species
CCCGCUGAACUUAAGCAUAUCAAUAAGCGGAGGAAAAGAAACCAACCGGGAUUGCCUCAGUAACGGCGAGUGAAGCGGCAAGAGCUCAAAUUUGAAAGCUGGCCCCUCCGGGGUCCGCGUUGUAAUUUGCAGAGGAUGCUUUGGGUGCGGCCCCCGUCUAAGUGCCCUGGAACGGGCCGUCAGAGAGGGUGAGAAUCCCGUCUUGGGCGGGGUGUCCGUGCCCGUGUAAAGCUCCUUCGACGAGUCGAGUUGUUUGGGAAUGCAGCUCUAAAUGGGUGGUAAAUUUCAUCUAAAGCUAAAUACUGGCCGGAGACCGAUAGCGCACAAGUAGAGUGAUCGAAAGAUGAAAAGCACUUUGAAAAGAGAGUUAAACAGCACGUGAAAUUGUUGAAAGGGAAGCGCUUGCGACCAGACUCGCCCUCGGGGUUCAGCCGGCACUCGUGCCGGUGUACUUCCCCGGGGGCGGGCCAGCGUCAGCUUGGGCGGCCGGUCAAAGGCCUCCGGAAUGUAGUGCCCCCCGGGGCACCUUAUAGCCGGAGGUGCAAUGCGGCCAGCCUGGGCUGAGGAACGCGCUUCGGCACGGACGCUGGCAUAAUGGUCGCAAACGACC